rnacentral:rRNA from 1 species
UACGUAGGGUGCAAGCGUUGUCCGGAAUUAUUGGGCGUAAAGAGCUCGUAGGCGGUUUGUCGCGUCUGCUGUGAAAACUCAGGGCUUAACCCUGAGCCUGCAGUGGGUACGGGCAGACUAGAGUGUGGUAGGGGAGAUCGGAAUUCCUGGUGUAGCGGUGGAAUGCGCAGAUAUCAGGAGGAACACCGGUGGCGAAGGCGGAUCUCUGGGCCAUAACUGACGCUGAGGAGCGAAAGCAUGGGGAGCGAACAGGAUUAGAUACCCCGAGUAAGU